rnacentral:rRNA from 1 species
UAGGGAAUCUUCGGCAAUGGGGGCAACCCUGACCGAGCAACGCCGCGUGAGUGAAGAAGGUUCUCGGCUCGUAAAGCUCUGUUGUAAGAGAAGAACGUGUGUGAGAGUGGAAAGUUCACACAGUGACGGUAACUUACCAGAAAGGGACGGCUAACUACUUGCCAGCAGCCGCGGUAAUACGUAGGUCCCGAGCGUUGUCCGGAUUUAUUGGGCGUAAAGCGAGCGCAGGCGGUUUAAUAAGUCUGAAGUUAAAGGCAGUGGCUUAACCAUUGUUCGCUUUGGAAACUGUUAAACUUGAGUGCAGAAGGGGAGAGUGGAAUUCCAUGUGUAGCAGUGAAAUGCGUAGAUAUAUGGAGGAACACCGGUGGCGAAAGCGGCUCUCUGGUCUGUAACUGACGCUGAGGAUCGAAAGCGUGGGGAGCAAACAGG